rnacentral:rRNA from 1 species
UACGGAGGAUCCAAGCGUUAUCCGGAUUUAUUGGGUUUAAAGGGUGCGUAGGCGGAUUGAUAAGUUAGAGGUGAAAUGUCCGUGCUCAACUCGGGAACUGCCUCUAAUACUGUUGAUCUAGAGAGUAGAUGCGGUAGGCGGAAUGUAUGGUGUAGCGGUGAAAUGCUUAGAGAUCAUACAGAACACCGAUUGCGAAGGCAGCUUACCAAUCUAUAUCUGACGUUGAGGCACGAAAGCGUGGGGAGCAAACAGG